rnacentral:rRNA from 1 species
AUUGAACGCUGGCGGCAGGCCUAACACAUGCAAGUCGAGCGGAUGAAGGGAGCUUGCUCCUGGAUUCAGCGGCGGACGGGUGAGUAAUGCCUAGGAAUCUGCCUGGUAGUGGGGGAUAACGUCCGGAAACGGGCGUUAAUACCGCAUACGUCCUGAGGGAGAAAGUGGGGGAUCUUCGGACCUCACGCUAUCAGAUGAGCCUAGGUCGGAUUAGCUAGUUGGUGGGGUAAAGGCCUACCAAGGCGACGAUCCGUAACUGGUCUGAGGGGAUGAUCAGUCACACUGGAACUGAGACACGGUCCAGACUCCUACGGGAGGCAGCAGUGGGGAAUAUUGGACAAUGGGCGAAAGCCUGAUCCAGCCAUGCCGCGUGUGUGAAGAAGGUCUUCGGAUUGUAAAGCACUUUAAGUUGGGAGGAAGGGCAGUAAGUUAAUACCUUGCUGUUUUGACGUUACCAACAGAAUAAGCACCGGCUAACUUCGUG